AAGAACAGACAGUCAGCACAAACGUCAUCCAUAUGACUCCAGCGGUUAAAUUAAUUUCUUCUAAACCGAUAUGAUCGCUUUUGUUGUGAAAAAUAUAAAUAUUUAAGUACUUUUUAUCUAUAAACCAUCGUUUUUGGACAGCAGCAGUAUACGCAUUCACGUGAGCGCCGAGUACAUGUGGUCUUGUGACAAAUUUGUUUUGGCUUGUUAUGGACAUAAUCUCACGUUUCUCUCACGGUUGAGACAUCCACGAUAAGCACACAAACGCACAAUUGUGGGUAAACAAACAGAUACAAAUUCAAACCAAAACCAACAAAGCUUCUGUACAGCAUUCCUCCUACUCAGUUGUAAACAGCGCUUCCGGGUGUGUUGCCCUUGCGUUAUUUCUCGCGUGAACAUGCCAAUGUGAUUACUUCACACGCGCAUACUGCUGCUGACCGGAAGCGAUAGUUUAUAGUUAAAAAGUACUUGAAUAUUGAAUAUUUUUUUUUGCACCAAAAGCAAUCGUGUCACUUCAGAAGACAUUAAUUUAACCUCUGGAUUCAUAUGGAUGACGUCUAUGCUGACUGAUUUUUGGAGCUUCAAAGGUCUGAUCAUCAUCCAGUAGCAUUUUAAGGACCUACUGAGCUAAGAUAUUUUUCUAUUUUUCUUCCAAUGUGUUCUGCUGAAGAAAGAAAGUCAUACACACCUGGGAUGGCAUGAGGGGCUGGUCAUGCUAGAGAAGUUUCUCAGUUGUGUGGAAAAGUGUCUCAGCUACAGACAGAAAUUGAUGUCCUAAAGAGACAGCUAACCACUGAGCGCUUUGACAGAAGUGUGAGCUUUAAGGACAAGAAAGCGAAGGCUUAUCACACUGGUCAUAAUACUCGAGAGAGAGAGAAGCCUGUCACAUUUGCACUGUCAAGACAUCCCAUGAAUGUCUCUUGGAAGAUUCUUGUGUUUAUCCAAUCUUAAAGAAACCUUGUGUUGUGCCAGAAAUGCCUUAGUUCUGACUAUCCUUUCUUUGGCUUCUAAAAGGGAAGAACUUGUAUAUUUAUUUACAUAAGUAAAAUUAUGCCAUCAAAGCCAGUCAGUCAUUUGUCUAAUUAUGUUUUUAAUAACUUGAAAGCAAUUGUAUUGCAGUGCUUGUGGCCCAUGUUACAUGUAUGUAUUGUCGUUUUACAUAUUUUUUUUUACUUUUGAAUGGAAAAACAAGGCAACUUAGCACUUCAUGUAUGUAAUAUUGUAUCAUUUCUGUACAUUGCAGAUUUUUUAAGCAGGUUAAACUAAAGAGUCUGUGUUCUAAAGCAUGCCUGGAUAUUGAAAUGAGCUGGCAAUGAAAGUGUUACCAAAUUCUUCAGUCAAAAGUGAAGAUCAAAGUUUUCAGGAAGUUGAUAUGGCCAUAAUACUCAGAGCAGUGUUAAAGGGAUAGUUCACCCAAAAAUGAAAAUUCUCUCAUUUACUCACCCUCAUGCCAUACCAGAUGUGUAUGAAUUUCUUUCUUCUGCAGAGCGCAAACAAAUAUUUUUAGAAGAAUAUUUCAGCUCUGUAGGUCCAUACAAUGCAGGUCAACAGGGUCCAAAACUUUGAAGCUCCAAAAUGCACAUAAAGGCAGCAUAAAAGUAAUCCACACGACUCCAGUGGUUAAAUCUGUUUCUUAAGAAGCGAUAUGAUAGGUGUGGGUGAGAAACAGAUCAAUAUUUCAGUCCUUUUUUACUAUAAAUCUCCACUUUCACUUUCUUCUUUUGUUUUUGGUGAUUUGCAUUCUUCAUGCAUAUCGCCACCUACUAGGCAGGGAGAAGAAUUUAUAGUAAAAAAAAGGACUUAAAUAUUGAUCUUUUUUUCACCCAUACAUAGUUUCGCUUCAGAAGACAUUAAUUAAUCCACUGGAGUCAUAUGGAUUACUUUCAUGCUUCCUUUGUGAUUUUUGGAGCUUCAAAAUUUUGGU